UAGAAUGAAGAUAUUGUUGUUGUUUAUUGUUUGAUCCAUUCAUGGUGUCCUUGUUUUCUGCAAAGAGGACAGAAAUGGCGUCUUUGAAACGGAACAUAUUUUUGAAAGCAUUUUGAAAGCGACUGGGGCAAAUGGGACAAAAAUGAAUAUAAACGCUACAAGAAAUUUGUUACACCACUUUAAUGAAACGUGCGUUUCUGCGGAAAACGUAUCACAAUGGCUGGAAAAGAUACUGGGAGCAGUCUCAACGAAACGGAGUUUAUAGCAAUUGCACCAGUUCUGGUAUAUCAUCUGUUACAACGCAAUAGUUCGUGUAAUGGCACAGAUUGGAAUCUCAAAAUAAAUGAAACGUGGAAACAAAAUUAACUUUGCUAUGAGAAGUUAUCGUCUAUAAUAAGUUCCCUAACACAAGAUGAAGAAUACAAAGAAAAAUGCUGAAAAAAUUUUGGAGCUGGAACAAUACUUAAAAGGCCUUGUGUAUCUGAUAGACUUGAAGUCGGUUAUGCUUUUUCAAGUGUUCUCAAUUCUGUUGUCAAAAAGGAAUGCCCAUUACCAUCUGUCAAUCAAUUUAAAACACAAAUUCUGUCAAUCUUCAACAAGACAGAAAAUGAUUCUUUUUCUGAGUCAGGUAAUUUGAUUUCAUGUU